ensembl:lncRNA
CUUCCACCGUCAUAUCACUGGAGCAGCACCUCAUAAAGCAAACAGACAAACACUGCUGAACAGAGCUCUGAUAGAAGGUGGAAGACACAAAUUCUUGUAUGCUCAUUUUUGCAUACAAAAAUGAUUGUAUGCAUGUAUGAUACAUGUCUGCUCUUACUUUAUCACUUCAUAGUCCCUCCUGACAACUUCACUCUUCAGGAAUUGGACUUGAUCCUUAUGGGUUCCAUCCAACUUGGGAUACUCUAUGAUUCACAGGAGGUCAAACUGUAGGUACAGUACUGUAGGAGGAAGACAGGUUUUGAAAUGUGUGGCUUAUUGUGGAUGGCCAGAUGGAUGUGAGAGUAAAGGAAACUGUCUACUCAACAUUUUCACAGAGAAAACUGCCAAGCUAGAAAGUGAAGUCCAUGGAAGUCCAGGAGGGAAAAAGAACAGGAAUGGUCAAAAACAAAGUCCUGCGGCUAUUGGAACAUCAUCAGUUCUGGCUUCUGGAGGCCCGGUGCACCACAUUACAACCACGGAAGAAUGUGUUUUUAAAGUAAUUAUUUAAAUAGUGUUAAUUAGCUCUAUAAAAAUGAAAAAGAAUUUUUUUUUUCAUUGGGGAUCAUAAUAGGAUUUAUUUCUAUGAGAAAAAAUAAGGCUUUUUCAUAUUUCUUCAGCUUAUUAAAUUACCUCAUGUUCUUUUAACUCACACUAGAUUAAUAGCAAGGGAAAUUUCAAAUACAACUUGAUGUGAUUUAA